AUGCAGGAGAGUUCUGCCGCUAGUCCUAUUGAAAUCUGUGACAUGGAACCUGAUGUGUUCGAAUCUUUGCUCCAUUUCAUAUACACUGACUCAGUUCCAGCAGUGCUUGAUGUGGUGAUGGCCAGCUAUCUGCUCGUAGCAGCUGACAGGUACAACAUUGGCAGGCUAAAGCUGAUAUGCGAGGAGAACUUAUGCAAUCACAUUGAUUCCAGCAUGGUGGCAACCAGUUUGGUUUUAGCCGAACAACAUGGUUUUCAUCAUCUGAAAGAAGCUUGUUUGAAAUUCCUUGCUACCCCCUCCAAUUUGGAGGCGAUGGUGGCAAAGAGUGAUGGGUAUGAGCAUCUGAAAUCCAGCUGCCCGUCUCUUCUCAAGGAGGUGAUAUCUACAAUCCUGCCCGCUGAACUGAAAUGA
rnacentral:rRNA from 1 species